GGAACAGGACGUCACAGAGGGUGAGAAUCCCGUGCGAUGAGAUGCCCAAUUCUAUGUAAAGUGCUUUCGAAGAGUCGAGUUGUUUGGGAAUGCAGCUCUAAGUGGGUGGUAAAUUCCAUCUAAAGCUAAAUAUUGGCGAGAGACCGAUAGCGAACAAGUACAGUGAUGGAAAGAUGAAAAGAACUUUGAAAAGAGAGUGAAAAAGUACGUGAAAUUGUUGAAAGGGAAGGGCUUGAGAUCAGACUUGGUAUUUUGCGAUCCUUUCCUUCUUGGUUGGGUUCCUCGCAGCUUACUGGGCCAGCAUCGGUUUGGAUGGUAGGAUAAUGACUAAGGAAUGUGGCUCUACUUCGGUGGAGUGUUAUAGCCUUGGUUGAUACUGCCUGUCUAGACCGAGGACUGCGUCUUUUGACUAGGAUGUUGGCAUAAUGAUCUUAAGCCACCCGUCUUGAAACACGGACCAAGGAGUCUAACGUCUAUGCGAGUGUUUGGGUGUAAAACCCGUACGCGUAAUGAAAGUGAACGUAGGUGAGAGCUCUUAAGAGUGCAUCAUCGACCGAUCCUGAUGUCUUCGGAUGGAUUUGAGUAAGAGCAUAGCUGUUGGGACCCGAAAGAUGGUGAACUAUGCCUGAAUAGGGUGAAGCCAGAGGAAACUCUGGUGGAGGCUCGUAGCGGUUCUGACGUGCAAAUCGAUCGUCGAAUUUGGG
rnacentral:rRNA from 1 species